rnacentral:rRNA from 1 species
AUCCAUGGUCAUACCACCCUGAACAUGCCUGAUCUCGUCUGAUCUUGGGAAGCUGAGCAGGAUCAGGCCUGGUCAGUAUUUGGAUGGUAGAAAUGGCAGUGUCUCUUCAGAUUCAAAGAUGAGGGUCACGGAGU